AUUGAACGCUGGCGGCAUGCCUUACACAUGCAAGUCGAACGGCAGCACGGGAGCAAUCCUGGUGGCGAGUGGCGAACGGGUGAGUAAUAUAUCGGAACGUGCCCGGUCGUGGGGGAUAACGUAGCGAAAGCUACGCUAAUACCGCAUACGAUCUACGGAUGAAAGCGGGGGAUCGCAAGACCUCGCGCGAUUGGAGCGGCCGAUAUCAGAUUAGGUAGUUGGUGAGGUAAAGGGCUCACCAAGCCGACGAUCUGUAGCUGGUCUGAGAGGACGACCAGCCACACUGGGACUGAGACACGGUCCAGACUCCUACGGGAGGCAGCAGUGGGGAAUAUUGGACAAUGGGCGAAAGCCUGAUCCAGCCAUGCCGCGUGUGUGAAGAAGGUCUUCGGAUUGUAAAGCACUUUAAGUUGGGAGGAAGGGUAGUAACCUAAUACGUUGCUACUUUGACGUUACCGACAGAAUAAGCACCGGCUAACUUCGUGCCAGCA
rnacentral:rRNA from 1 species